AAACGCCUCGUCGAACUCGUCAUCGGAGUAAGGAAACGCAGAGCCAAACGCUAUUCCUUAGAAGCGAAAUUUAAAAAGAAAAAAAAAAAAUCUAGGACAGGAGCGAGGAGAAAAGGGAAAAUGGACGCGGAGUUGCUGGAAUUGCAGAGGCAGUUCGAAUCCGCUCAGCAGGCGAAAUCGAGCAUCCGAUUAUCUGAAAGAAACGUAGUGGAAUUGGUAAACAAGCUUCAAGAGCUCCAGAUAAUCGAUUUCGAACUCCUUCAUACCGUCUCCGGCAAAGAAUACAUCACACCAGAUCAGCUGAGACUGGAAAUAGAGGCAGAGAUUACAAAGUCAGGGCGUGUUUCUCUAAUUGAUCUUGCAGAUAUUAUUGGGGUGGAUUUGUACCAUGUUGAAAAGCAAGCUAAACAUAUAGUGGCAGACAAUGUAGGGCUGAUGCUAAUACAGGGGGAAAUAAUAUCCCAGUCUUAUUGGGAUACCAUAGCAGAAGAGAUAAAUGAGAGGCUUCAGGAGUGUAGUCAGAUUGCAUUGGCGGAGCUUGCUGCUCAGUUGCAUGUCAGCUCGGAAUUAAUAUCGGCUGUUUUAGAGCCCCGCCUUGGAACUCUUGUGAAAGGGAGAAUGGAAGGUGGACAGUUAUAUACUCCAGCAUAUGUUGAACGAAUUACCGCCAUGGUUCGUGGAGCUGCUAGGGGCAUCACAGUUCCGACAAAUUUAUUGACAGUUUGGAGCUCUUUGCAGCAGUUGUUGCUUGAAAUGGAUGGAGCCAAUGGUGUGUCUGUUGAAGGUUCCUUCUUUCAGUCUCUAUUUAAUGGGCUAGUGAAAGAGGGGGAGAUCCUUGGAUCAGUUCGUGCUGGAGUUCACUGGACACCAACUGUGUUUGCCUAUGCUCAAAAGGAAAGUGUAGAUUCUUUCUUCUCACAGAAUUCUUUUAUAAGCUAUGAUGUUCUUCACAAGCUUGCAAUCUCCCAGCCUAAGCAGUAUUUGCAGUCCAGAUAUCCUGAAGGCAUACCACUAGAUUCUGUUUUUGUGCAUCCUUCAAUGAUUGAGAUGUUGGAUUCUGCUGUCGAGGAUGCUAUUGAACAAGGUAGCUGGAUUGAUUGCCUUUCAGUUUUACCAGCGGUGUAUGGAGGUCAAGAUGCUUCUAAGCUUCUAUCACUUUGUCCAUCUGUUCAGAGGGCAAUGAAGUCCAUGAAAGCGACCAUCUUGGGGGAAUCAUGCAUUUUAAGUAAUACCUUUAUCAAGAAUGUGUUUGAUCAAAUUGACAAAGAAACGGAGACCUUUAAUCAAGCAAGGCCUUCUGCUCAUGGGCUAUCAGACAGUUCUCAUUCUGUCAAUGAACAUAAAGGUGGACAAGAUACUAGUCACUUGCCUGAGCGAAACGAGACUAUCGAUGAUGAUUCUGGUAGUAAACAUGUUAUAGAGAAGGGACAAAAGAAGAAAAGAGGAAAAGCCACGGGAUCUUCAAAGGCAGGGGCAGUUGAAAAUACUUCUGACAUUCUAGAAUAUCUUCCUACCAAAUCUAAGAAAAACCAGAGGAAAAACAAGGAUGCAAGUUCGUUACAAGUAGCUGAUGCAAAAUCUAGCGCUAAGAAAGAUUCAGAUAAGAUGAAGGAGGAAAAACUAAACAUUAUUUCUGAAGAGUGGAUAAUGCAGAAGAUUUCACAGCUGUUUCCAGAUUUUGAAGGAUUAGGAGGUCAGGAUGAUCCAGACACAUUCCGUAGAGCUUUGGCAGCUCAUUUGAGGCCUAUGCUGCUAACUUCGUGGAAGGAGAGAAGAAAUGCAUUGUUUAUGGAGAAUUCUGAGAGGAGGCGGCAUUUGCUUGAUAAUCUGCAGAAGAAGCUGGAUGAGUCUUUCUUGGAUCUUCAGCUCUAUGAGAAAGCAUUAGAUCUGUUUGAAGAUGAUCCAUCAACCUCUGUUAAUUUACAGAAACAUCUGCUCAGAACAACAGCUACUUCUAUUAUGGACAUGCUUUUACUCAACCUGGACAUGGACAACAAAAUGAAAAAUGGAAUUGAAGUUGAAGAAUCUCAGAACCUGGAGCCUGCCUCACUGAGUGCUGGGGAUAGAACUUCUAUUGCAAAGAGUCUGCCUGGCUCUCUGUCGGCUAAGGCUGUUGCAGCAGUUGAGGCAUUGGAGGGGAAGCGGUUGGAUACAUUCUUGAAUGCACUAAGAGCAGUAGCAGAGGAAAGUGGGCUACUCUUAAAGAAGCUCGACAAGAAAUUGGAGAGGACACUCUUACAUUCUUACCGUAAAGAUUUGACUACUCAAGUUUCUUCUGAAACUGAUCCGGUUGCACUUCUACCGAAGGUUGUUUCUCUACUUUAUUUGCAGGUGUACAACAAGGCUCUUCAAGCUCCAGGAAGGGCCAUUUCUGUUGCUAUUUCUCGAUUGAAGAAUAAAAUGGAAGAUUCAGCACAUAAGGUCCUACUGGAUUACCACACUGCAACAGUUACCCUUUUAGCUCUUCUAUCCGCUGCAACUGAAGAUGUGAGUUAGCAUACUAUAGGAGGAAGACUGCACAUCGGAUAGAGCACUGAGUAAAAGAGAGUUCUUAGAGAGCCAAAUGCCUGAGCUAAAAGCUGUGGUGUUAAACAACAACCAGACCUGAAAGAAGGAGAAUUAUAGGCAUCCCGAGGAAUGAUCUUGCACAUGUGCCUUGCUCAUUUUGUGCUGCAAAGAGGAUUCUAGCAAAGCUCGUGUAAAGAAAGAAGGGAGCUUGCUUUCACGACCUGAAUGCUUCCCUAAGUUUAGUCCUUUUUCUGAAAGACCCAGUGACUGCUGCUCGUGUUGCCAAAAUACUUGGAACAGUCAAUCAUAUGGGAGAAAAUUGAAGAGAAGAAUUCUUCUGUUAUGUAAGGCCCUGUUAGAAGCAACUAUAGAAAUUAUUCCCUAGGAAUGAUUUCCUUGGAAUUGUUUCCUGAGAAUUGCUUAUGUGAAAAAUUGCGUGUUUGGCAAA